GCUGGGUGCAAUGGUGCACACCUGUAAUCCCAGGGAUCUAGAGGCUGAGGCGGGAGGAUCACUAGUUCAAAGCCAACCUUAGGGACUUAGUGAGGCUCUAAGCAACUUAGUGAGACCCUGUCUCUU
rnacentral:sRNA from 1 species